rnacentral:ncRNA from 1 species
GAGAGACGGUUGGCAUCUCCCCCAACAGGGACGGCAACAGCCGUCGGGCUUACCUGUUAGUCUGUUACUUCCAGGCUCCAGCUGGUUUU